UACGAGGGGUGCAAGCGUUGCUCGGAAUUAUUGGGCGUAAAGGGUAGGUAGGUGGCCAACUAAGUCAGACGUGAAAUCCCUCAGCUUAACUGGGGAACUGCGUCUGAUACUGGAUGGCUUGAGUUUGGGAGAGGGAUGCGGAAUUCCAGGUGUAGCGGUGAAAUGCGUAGAUAUCUGGAGGAACACCGGUGGCGAAGGCGGCGACCUGGGUAGAUACUGACGCUGAGGUGCGAAAGCGUGGGGAGCAAACAGG
rnacentral:rRNA from 1 species